AGUUCACACUGCAUUUAAUCAAUCCUUUUUUCCCUGCAAAUAAGUCAUGCCUGUGAUCAACAAAAGCCAUUCUUUCAAUUGUGCCUUUUCAUGAGGCCACCCUGAGUUAAAUUCAGAAUUAUGAUCCAGCAGAAUAUGAAUUUAUAACCUGUCUUCGAUUGUCUGAGCCUGAUCUGUCCUGCACAGCAGUCACUCAUCCUUCAGAGCCCAUCCAGGUGCAGCACAUUCCAAAGGCAUCAAUAUUUCACAGCAUUAACUACGUGUAAGUCCAGGGAAGCGCUGCGUUGGAGAGCAAGCAAAUAAAGCUCUCCAGUUUGACAUGCUUUCACUUAAUUGGGAGCUUUAAGAGCAGAUCAUGGGAGCAGGAAAUGAGUCUUUCAGCUAAUUCCCUUCUGCAUAAAAGAUGCUUGGUGCCAAAGCAGAGCUGUCCUGGUGAGCAAACUCCUGGGGUGAGAUUCCUCAGCCCGGGGCUCAGGGGGUGCAUCCCAGGCUGGCUCCGUAAUUUACAGCACAUUUCAGGGCACACCCUGCAUCUCAUUCAUCGGCUUUAGAGAUGUUUGCCCUCUUCUCAGCUUUGGAUCACAUAAAAGAAAUCAACAUCUAUGGGUGCAGUUCAGCACAGCUGCGUGGCUUUUUCUGGAGAGAAAUUCCUGGUAGAUAAUUUGUCAGUUUGGGAUUAGGAUUUUUAAAAUAAAUGAUUCUGU